AUGACUCUCUCUGAAAAGGUUAUUCAAAUGGGCCUAGAAUCAGACUGCACACCUCAAACCUUACAUGAUCAAUAAUGACAGGCAGAAACAACCUGACCCUGGUCCUGUGUGAAAGAGGAAAUCCAUUCAAACCAAAAGUUAAUCAAGAGGAAGUGUUCAGGUUCUGAAUAUGAGUGCGUGGGUCUUUAGAAACCAGCUUGCAUGUGAGGAAGAGCGCACGGGAGAUCAUAGGUAUAUUUACACUUUACCACUUACUUAAAGCUCCGACAUUUCCAAAAGUCAAAAACUGGAAUAGACCAGGCAUAAUAGGAUCAUUAUACAAAAUGAAAUUCUUCUGUGCUCUCUGGCUUUGGAUGUUUCUGUCAGAAUUUAAUUCAUCUACUGGCGAAAUUUCUAGACAAGGACACAGUGAAGGAAGCAUAACAAUCAUAUGUUCCCACGGCUGGGCUUCAACCAAUAUAAAGUAUUUCUGCAGAGAUCCAUGUGAAGACAAAGAUAUUUUAGUGAAAUCUGGCCAGUCACCUGCAGGAAGAUACAGACUGAAGGAUUCAGGAAACACCUUCACUGUGAACAUCACUGAUCUACAGGAGUCAGACUCUGGGAUUUACUGGUGUGGAGUGGAGAGAUUUGGUUUAGACUCAUUUACGAAAGUCAAACUGACAGUAUCUAAAAGUUUUGUCAAAGCAUCUGGUCCAGCUGGUGAAAAAGCAGGUGCUGAACACAGCAACUCAUCCUCACCUGCAGAUAUAUUCCCAGUGCCUUUACACUAUAUUCUUUACGCUGCUGCUGGUUUGGCCAUCAUGGUGAUCAUAUGUGCAAUUGGACUAAUGACUGUUUGUCUGUGCAGAACAAGAGUCAAGAAAUCAAGAUGCGUUAUUGCAAGAUCUAUUUACAAUCCCCAUCACAGCGAGGAGGAUAAUGCUGUUUAUCAGAACGCUCCUGAUGACAAACAAUAUGCCACCAUUAAUAAAUCCAGGACCAAGAAUAAGGACAAGAGCCAGUCGGACCCAAUCUAUCAGAACUUACACUUCAACACUACACAAGAUGAAACUAUCUAUGGCAAUCUAUAGGAAAUAUACAGUCUACUAUCCUCAAUUGCAAAUACAUGUUCUGUAUGACAAACAUUGAACAAGUCUGUCUGGACCAUUUUUCCGGACAUCAACACCAUUUCUGAAUAGUAUAUGGCAAAAAUCAAAUGUACAGAACAAGAUUCAAAAACAUGGCACUUGGUGAUAUAAUCACACCAUUAUUUGUGUAAAUAAAUAUCCAGUUUGCAUGUAAAGUUUGCUUGUGAAACAACAAUAAAGGGUUGAAAUACUAAUGGGUUGUUUCAUAUUAAAUGGACAAAUGUGUGUAGGGCUAUUCAAUUAUUUUGCAAAUACAACUAACUGUUCCUUUAAUGAAUCCUUAGCCUGCAGAUAGUGUAAAAACUGAAUAUGAGUAUGUGAAAACACUGAAAUGUGAACCUAGUCUUCAUGAAUCAGACUUACCUGUGCAGACUGUUUUAAGCUCUGUACUCAGGCCACACACCAGUUUGAACAAUCUGUCUUUGUUUUCUCUAAAUCAUCCAGAUAAAGAAUACAUUGAAGUAAUGCACCUGUUUAACCUGUACUUGUAUCUCUUGCACUUACCACAUCAUGAUAAUAAAACUGAUCAACCAGAAAUAUGUUUCUGCCAGAGCUGUUCAAUCUAAAGACUCAUGCACUGAAUUGAAGCAGUUCCUGAGUUUAAAACAAGAAGACUCUAAAUUAGUUUUGUGUGUACAUCAUCCUCUCACCCCAUAUUAGUUGUUAUCCAGAUCUUGAUUGGGUGUAGCACAUUGUUACUCAACAUGACUUCCUGAUACAUCCUUACUAUCUAUAAAGUGAUAUGACCCAAAAUGAUUUGUCGAAGGAGCAAUACUCAUUGAGUAGGGCUUAAGUUAUGGUUAAGUAUUAUUAGCUAGUUACUGUAAUGUAUGCUAGACCAGACUCUUUUCAUCAGGCUUCAUGCAGGUCUCCUCCAUCAUGGCAACAAUAACAGCAGAUUAUAUCAAUC
rnacentral:lncRNA from 1 species